GACGAACGCUGGCGGCGUGCUUAACACAUGCAAGUCGAACGGAAAGGCCCUGCUUUUGUGGGGUGCUCGAGUGGCGAACGGGUGAGUAACACGUGAGUAACCUGCCCUUGACUUUGGGAUAACUUCAGGAACCUGGGGCUAAUCCCGGAUAGUAGCUCCUGCUGCAGGGUGGGGGUUGGAAAGUUUCGGCGGUUGGGGAUGGAUUCGCGGCUUAUCAGCUUGUUGGUGGGGUAGUGGCUUACCAAGGCUUUGACGGGUAGCCGGCCUGAGAGGGUGACCGGCCACAUUGGGACUGAGAGACGGACCAGACUCCUACGGGAGGCAGCAGUGGGGAAUAUUGCACAAUGGGCGGAAGCCUGAUGCAGCAACGCCGCGUGCGGGAUGACGGCCUUCGGGUUGUAAACCGCUUUCGCCUGUGACGAAGCGUGAGUGACGGUAAUGGGUAGAGAAGCACCGGCUAACUACGUG
rnacentral:rRNA from 1 species